CCUGCUUUCAUAGGUGUGUCCAUGAAGAGCUAUUCAAGUGAGACAAAAGUGAUUUCGGCCUCUGGUCUUCUCCCAACACCAGGCUCCUUGCAUGAUGAAUACAGUCCAUCUGAUAGGCUGCAAAAGAUCCAUGGACACCUGAGUAGAUGGGUCCCGGGUCAUGACUGGAAGACCCAAACCCAACAUCUCCAUAAAAGUUGUGGACUGAGGUAUAUGGCAGUUGAUUUGAUGUCUGAUGCACUUGUUACGUGGACUAUGUAAGCGUAGACUCCUACGGAAAUCAAGAGGCCUCCAGACUGCAACACCUCAUACAAAAUUAAAGCUACUGAAGCUACUGACCUAGAAGAACUGCCACAAAGGCAGUUAAAGGGACCAAAGAAAUUUGCAGUGCCAAGAAAUGUCACCUGCCUAAUAGGUUCGGGUACAUAAGACUGCUUAUAAAUAUAGAAGAGCAGGGUUGAGAUGCUUGUGUUCCUCUGCAGCAAAGUGGGGCAUAGCUUGGGAGCCCUCACUUACAAAGCUUUGCAGGGACAUGCUUAUUCCACAGAGAAUGGGCUACCUGCACUGACAUCCACUCAGAGAAGUAAUAACUUGGCAAAUCCUACUUAUCAACGUGUAUCCUUUUCUCAAUUAAUUCAAGAUUUUGCGUUUGUUUACUUUCAUCUCCAAAAUAGCAACAACUUCCUUUAAUAUUUCAGACAGUCUGGCAUUUAAGUAACUGAUUGAUGAAUGUUCAAUUGCACUCAGAAGGAGACAGCAAUUCUCAUCAUCCGUAAUUCAUUAGCAUAUAAUGGAAAUGCCGUGCCAAUCAAAUUAAAGUUGCAUGUGAUAAGA